CCAAAAUGACUCUCGGCAACGGAUAUCUCGGCUCUCGCAUCGAUGAAGAACGUAGCGAAAUGCGAUACUUGGUGUGAAUUGCAGAAUCCCGUGAACCAUCGAGUCUUUGAACGCAAGUUGCGCCCGAAGCCAUUAGGCUGAGGGCACGCCUGCCUGGGUGUCAAA
rnacentral:rRNA from 1 species